GACGAACGCUGGCGGCGUGCUUAACACAUGCAAGUCGAACGGAAAGGCCCUGCUUUUGUGGGGUGCUCGAGUGGCGAACGGGUGAGUAACACGUGAGUAACCUGCCCUGGACUUUGGGAUAACUUCAGGAAACUGGGGCUAAUACCGGAUAGGAGCUCCUGCUGCAUGGUGGGGGUUGGAAAGUUUCGGCGGUUGGGGAUGGACUCGCGGCUUAUCAGCUGGUUGGUGGGGGAGUGGCUUACCAAGGCUUUGGCGGGUGGCCGGCCUGAGAGGGUAGACAGGCACCUUGGGACUGAGAUAGGGAGCAGUCGCCUACGGGAGGCAGCAGUGGGGAAUAUUGCACAACGGGCGGAAGCCUGAUGCAGCAACGCCGCGUGCGGGAUGACGGCCUUCGGGUUGUAAACCGCUUUCGCCUGUGACGAAGCGUGAGUGACGGUAAUGGGUAAAGAAGCACCGGCUAACUACGUG
rnacentral:rRNA from 1 species